UACGAAGGGGGCUAGCGUUGUUCGGAAUCACUGGGCGUAAAGGGCGCGUAGGCGGCUUUAUAAGUCGGGGGUGAAAGCCUGUGGCUCAACCACAGAAUUGCCUUCGAUACUGUAGAGCUUGAGACCGGAAGAGGUAAGUGGAACUGCGAGUGUAGAGGUGAAAUUCGUAGAUAUUCGCAAGAACACCAGUGGCGAAGGCGACUUCCUGGCCUGUUCUUGACGCUGAGGCGCGAAAGCUAGGGUAGCAAACGGG
rnacentral:rRNA from 1 species